rnacentral:rRNA from 1 species
UGGCGUCCGGGUGAGUAACGCGUAGAUCAUCUACCUUCGGGUGGGGAAUAACUCAGGGAAACUUGAGCUAAUACCGCAUAACAUCGAAAGAUCAAAGCAGGGGAUCGCAAGACCUUGCGCCUGAAGAGGAGUCUGCGUCUGAUUAGCUAGUUGGUAAGGUAAUGGCUUACCAAGGCUUCGAUCAGUAGCUGGUCUGAGAGGACGGCCAGCCACAUUGGCACUGAAACACGGGCCAAACUCCUACGGGAGGCAGCAGUGGGGAAUUUUGGGCAAUGGGCGAAAGCCUGACCCAGCAAUGCCGCGUGAACGAUGAAGUCCUUCGGGAUGUAAAGUUCGGAAGUAAGGAACGAAAAGCUAUGGGAUAAUACCCUGUAGCGCUGACGGUACCUUAUCUAAGCCCCGGCUAACUACGUGCCAGCAGCCGCGGUAAUACGUAGGGGGCAAGCGUUGUUCGGAAUUACUGGGCGUAAAGCGCGUGUAGGCGGUCUGGCAAGUCAGAUGUGAAAGCCCCGGGCUCAACUUGGGAACUGCAUUUGAUACUGCCAAGCUAGAGUACAGAAGAGGUGACUGGAAUUCCCAGUGUAGCGGUGAAAUGCGUAGAUAUUGGGAGGAACACCAGAUGC